ensembl:lncRNA
GAAAAGAUGAAGCACUUCAAAGCUUCAGCAUUGUUUAGAGAAUGCCUCCUGCUCAAACAUGCCCCCACACCACAUUCAAGAACACAGAGCAUUACAGCAAUCCUUCUGGAGGUGACCUUGCCACAGAAAUAAUCCUUCUGCUGCUAAGAGAUUCCUUGUGUCCCAGCUAUGAUAGAAAAGAUGCAAAUAGCCAACAAGAAAAACAGGACGAGGAAUGUCCAGCAGUAAGAGAGGAGCUGAAGUGGAGUGAUCAUGGGAAAGAGAAAAAGAGUGACAGUAAGAAAGAAGGAAAAAAUCAGGCCUAACAGAGGAGGCCCAUACGUUCUCCAGAUGUUCUCCUACACACAACUGAGACAUGAAGGAGAAACGCUUCACAGAAGCUCUUGACACACACACAUAUUCAAGCUCUCUUUAUGGUAGAACAUGGCUGGUUAGCAUCAUGUCUAUGUCCAGAAAAAAGCUAAGAGCUCACCCCCUCCUCUUUCACAUGUGAAACCCUGUGAAAUACAGACUCGCUCAUUAUUCCACAUUUCAUGAAGUCAUCCCAAGCAUGCCGGAUUUACAUUUUUGGUCUGGUAUAAAUUUUUUGAAGCAUUUAAUAAUAAACCAACAUCUGUAUGAAAAAACAACCAGCUCUCAACAUCUCAGUAAACACCCAUCCGUACCUCAUUUUCCCUUUCUCUUGCCCUCUCUCUCCCUCUCUCGUUUUCAGGGAAUACAUUGAAUAGCAUUGUUUCUUUGUUCAGGCUUUGUUUUCCCUUAGUGCAGGCACACACACUCUAACAAACACAUGACCUAACACACACACACACACACACACA